rnacentral:rRNA from 1 species
UCCGGUUGAUCCUGCCAGAGGCUACUGCUAUCGGGGUUCGAUUAAGCCAUGCGAGUUAAAUGUUCUUCGUGAACAUAGCGAACUGCUCAGUAACACGUGGAUAACCUACCCUUAGGACCGGAAUAACCCCGGGAAACUGGGGAUAAUACCGGAUAAGCCAUAGACGCUGGAAUGCCCUAUGGUUCAAAGCUCCGGCGCCUAAGGAUGGAUCUGCGGUCUAUCAGGUUGUAGUGGGUGUAACGUACCUACUAGCCGACGACGGAUACGGGUUGUGAGAGCAAGAGCCCGGAGAUGGAUUCUGAGACACGAAUCCAGGCCCUACGGGGUGCAGCAGGCGCGAACACUUUACAAUGCGGGAAACCGCGAUAAGGGAACCCCGAGUGCCAGCAUCAAAUGUUGGCUGUCCAGAUGAUUAAAAAUCAUUUGUUAGCAAGGGCCGGGCAAGACCGGUGCCAGCCGCCGCGGUAACACCGGCGGCCCGAGUGGUAGCCGUUUUUAUUGGGUCUAAAGGGUCCGUAGCCGGCCUGAUAAGUCCUUUGGGAAAUCUGGCAGCUUAACUGUCAGGCUUCUAAGGGAUACUGUCAGGCUUGAGACCGGAAGAGGUAAGGGGUACUCCAGGGGUAGGAGUGAAAUCUUGUAAUCCCUGGGGGACCAUCUGUGGCGAAGGCGCCUUACCAGAACGGGUCCGACGGUGAGGGACGAAAGCUAGGGGAGCAAACCGGAUUAGAUACCCGGGUAGUCCUAGCUGUAAACGAUGCUCGCUAGGUGUCAGACACGGUGCGACCGUGUUUGGUGCCGCAGGGAAGCCGUUAAGCGAGCCACCUGGGAAGUACGGUCGCAAGGCUGAAACUUAAAGGAAUUGGCGGGGGAGCAC